GGAGAAAUACUCAAGUGGCUGAAGAGGCGCCCCUGCUAAGGGUGUAGGUCGCGAAAGCGGCGCGAGGGUUCAAAUCCCUCUUUCUCCA
rnacentral:tRNA from 1 species